CGGAGGGUGCGAGCGUUGUCCGGAAUCAUUGGGCGUAAAGGGCGCGUAGGUGGCCCAGUAAGCGUGCGGUGAAAGCUCGGGGCUCAACCCCGGGUCGGCCGUGCGAACUACUGGGCUGGAGCACUGUAGAGGCAGGCGGAAUUCCGGGUGUAGCGGUGGAAUGCGUAGAGAUCCGGAAGAACACCGGUGGCGAAGGCGGCCUGCUGGGCAGUUGCUGACACUGAGGCGCGACAGCGUGGGGAGCAAACAGGAUUAGAUACCCUGGUAGUCCACGCCGUAAACGAUGGGCACUAGGCGCUUGGGGGAGCGACCCCCCGAGGGCCGGCGCUAACGCAUUAAGUGCCCCGCCUGGGGAGUACGGCCGCAAGGCUG
rnacentral:rRNA from 1 species